AGAGUUUGAUCCUGGCUCAGGAUGAACGCUGGCGGCGUGGAUAAGGCAUGCAAGUCGGACGAUUUCCUUUUUUGAAGAAGAUGCGAUUACAUCAAGUCAACUGAUAUUUUGGAGAUAGUGGCGAACGAGCUAGUAACACCUUGGUACGUACCCAAAAGUUUGGUAUAGCUCGCCGAAAGGCGGGGUAAUCCCAAAUAAUCCCUCUAUCUAUCGGAUAGAAGGGUAAAGUCGCAAGACGCUUUUGGAGCGGCCUAGGACCGAUCAGUUAGUUGGUGAGGUAAUGGCUCACCAAGACGAUGACCGGUAGGGGGGCUGAGAGGCUGAUCCCCAGCGACGGCACUGAGACACGGGCCGUACACCUACGGGUGGCAGCAGCCGAGAAUAUUCGACAAUGGGCGAAAGCCUGAUCGAGCGACGCCGCGUGCAGGAAGAAGGUUUUCGGAUUGUAAACUGCUUUUCUACAGGAAGAAUAAAUGACGGUACUGUAGGAAUAAGGAGCUGCAAACUACGUGCCAGCNGCCGCGGUAAUACA
rnacentral:rRNA from 1 species